rnacentral:rRNA from 1 species
AUUGAACGCUGGCGGCAGGCUUAAAACAUGCAAGUCGAACGAGUGGCGGACGGGUGAGUAAUGCUUGGGAAUCUAGCUUAUGGAGGGGGAUAACUACGGGAAACUGUAGCUACUACCGCGUACCAUAGGUUCAGCCCAAGGGGGAUUAGGUAGUUGGUGAGGUAAAGGCUCACCAAGCCGACGAUCUAUAGCUGGUCUGAGAGGAUGACCGGCCACACUGGGACUGAGACACGGCCCAGACUCCUACGGGAGGCAGCAGUGGGGAAUAUUGGGCAAUGGACGAUACCUGACGGAGCCAUGCCGCGUGAGUGAAGAAGGCCUUCGGGUUGUAAAGUUCUGUCGGUAGCGAAGCGUUAUCUACAGAGGAAGCAACGGCUAACUACGUGCCAGCAGCCGCGGUAAUUC